GACGUCGAUAUUCGACGUCAUAAACACGAUCAACUUAGUCGUUUAUGACGUCGAUAUUCGACGUCAUAAACACCCUCACCUUUGGUGUUUAUGACGUCGAUAUUCGACGUCAUAAUUACGACUAACUUUGGUGUUUUCGACGUCGAUAUUCGACGUU
rnacentral:miRNA from 1 species